UACAGAGGGUGCGAACGUUGUUCGGAAUUACUGGGCAUAAAGAGCACGUAGGCGGCACCGCAAGUGUGGGGUGAAAUCCCACGGCUUACCCGUGGAACUGCCUGGCAGACUGCGGUGCUAGAGGUUGGUAGGGGAGAGCGGAACUCUUGGUGGAGCGGUGAAAUGCGUAGAUAUCAAGAGGAACACCGGUGGCGAAGGCGGCUCUCUGGAGCAAUCCUGACGUGAGGUGCGAAAGCGUGGGGAGCAAACAGG
rnacentral:rRNA from 1 species